UACGUAGGUGGCGAGCGUUGUCCGGAUUUACUGGGUGUAAAGGGCGUGUAGGCGGGGAAACAAGUCAGAUGUGAAAUUCCGUGGCUUAACUGCGGGGCUGCAUCUGAAACUGUUUUUCUUGAGUGCUGGAGAGGAAAGUGGAAUUCCCAGUGUAGCGGUGAAAUGCGUAGAUAUUGGGAGGAACACCAGUGGCGAAGGCGGCUUUCUGGACAGUAACUGACGAUGAGGCGCGAAAGAGUGGGGAGCAAACAGG
rnacentral:rRNA from 1 species